GCGUUGCCAGACCGUACCAAAAAGUACGGUUUUCCGUACUAUUCAUCACACAACCGUACCACUAUCGUACCUCAGUGCAGACCGUACCUUUUUCGUACCUUUUCCAUAUUAGUAGUUUAUUUUUCACUACAACCUACAAAGGGUAAAAAACAAUAAAAAAUCGCCUUUUUAUGUUUUGCUCAACAUUCUGAAUUUGUGUUCAAAAAACUUUUUUCUUCCAAACAAAUAAGACUUAGCUGUUUGGAUUACAUUCAUUGCCUUUCUUAUUAAGAAACGAUGAACUUAAAAAAAAAACAAAAUAUAGUCUGCGGUCUGCAGGACUCAAAGAAUUGGCGGGAUUAUCACCAAAUGUCAAAUAGUCAAUCUGAAACCGAGAUCGAACUAAAUAUUUAAAGAUAACUUAUUUUCACAAGUAUGAUUAGAAUUUGGUUUUAAUAUAAAGUACUGUGUUCUGUUGUUCGGAUAAUCACAUAACUGAUUGAGAAAACAAUACGAAUCUCGAGACGGAAGAAACAUUAAGUCAAGGUAAGUUGAUGUUGAUGAUGGUUUGCAUUUUUCAUGCAUGAUUUUUGUUUGCAUGGCAAGAAGGCAAAGUUGUGUGACUAAAUGACAAUGCUAUUUCUUUUCUUAUCACCACAGCCAAGGUGUGGUUUAUUGCCUUUCAUUCAUUCUUAUUAAAUAGAUACUGACAAACAACUUAAAAUUUUGCAAACUAUCUGUUCCGAUCUGAUGGUCAAGGGUAGAACUAUAUUUAAUCGCCUUGGACGUUUGAUAUAAUAAAUUAUUUAUAGGUUGACCAGAAAUAUUGCAGACCUGUCAACGAGGGCGCUAAUUAUGCAUUUUACACAAUAACAUUAUACCCUAAACAGGAUUGAUAACUGAUAGAUACCUAUCGAAAAAACGACCCGAGCGAGAUAGGUAGUACGGGGGCCGGCUGUCCCUUUUUAAUAGGGCGACUUCAUAGUCGCGAUAGAGGCGAUUUGGCUAUGUGAGACAAAUUAGAAUUUGCUAAGAUUAUUUAACUUUGUAAAUUUGGAAUUGUUUUUAUAUAACAUAUGCUAUAAAAAACAUUAAAUGCUAAAAAGAUGCUAAAUCAUCCGACGCCAUGACAUGAUAUGAUUUUCAGGGUUACCAUAAAAAAUAAAAAAGCGAAAUAUAAAUUUAUAUUUUCUUUUUGAUUUAAAAAUACAUGCAAAGAAAUUAAUGUGAUUGUUAUUUGUUGACUUAACAAUUGUUAAAAUACCAUAAAAAUAUAAGUGUUUCAAUGAAAUUUUUGAGUAGCCAAAACUGUUGAUUAAAAUAGUGUUCAUUUUCGUAAAUAUAUAUUUUAUAUCAGUCCUUUUUUAGCAAAGCAACACCAAAUAGGUAUGUCAUAUUGAGUAAACUGUCAAAUUGUCAAAUAUAAUCAGACUUAUUUUAGAAGAUGUAAGAACAAGCAAGACCAUAGAGCAACACUGAUUACUGAAUAUUGUCGGGUUAUGGUAACAUUUUUUUUAGCCUUGUUGCCAGUUAUUUUUUUUUGUUGCUUUUUUUAUCCGCAGUGUGGCAAAGUCUGCUAUAUUUCUGGUCGACAUAUAAAAUUAAUAAUCACCACUAGCGUCAAAAUGAAACAGAUAAGUUUGAUGCUAAAAAUCCUGUUUUUUUAAUGUUUUGUUGGGGUUGCCAUCUUGUGAAUUAACAACCGAAUUCAGAAAAUUCCGGAGUAUUUACGUAUAUCACAUAAAUUCAUUUAAGUAAUUGGCUAUUUGAUAGUUGUAACGAUGAAACAUCAAAUAUGUUAAAUAUGAUACUUGAGAUAGCUUGUAACCAAAGAAUAAUGGCACAAUAGAUAUCGCUUUAUAAGAAAUUUUAAAUAUUUUAUUUUCGCAAAAUAGAUUUGUCUUUUUUAUCUGUGGAUAUAUUGUGAUACGUCACAUACAUCUCACAGAAAAUGUCAAGCAAAACGUCACCUGUCAGUUUCAAACAGCGUUCACUGAUUGGCGAGAAAUUGUAAUGUGACGUGACCGGCUGUUUUCGCGCGAAUUUAAAGUAAUGAAUAUUUUUUUGUAAAUAUUUUUCCGAAGGCUGGCACCUAGCCAAUUGUAUGAAUGCAUGUGAUUCUAAUAUUUGAUAUUCAAUAAUACGAAAUUAUACUUUGUUUCAAUAUUUUUGUUUCAUAACUUUCUUUUCUACCUAUACUUACCUACAUUUUUAAUAAGAAAAUUAUUAAUAUUGUGAACGUAUAUACUCUGUAAACGGUCAAAGUAAAAGUUUGCGGAAUGCACAGAACACAAUGAAUCAGAUAGAAAUGAAGACAAUUGAUACAGACAGAAUGAAACAUAUCCAAACUAUUGAAGCUUCAAGCAUGUAUUAGCAAGUUAUUUAUUUAUAAACUCGUGGUAAGUUAAAUUAUUAUUUUACGAGCAUUUUUCAACAUUUCAGCAAAACCAUACGGGUCAGGAUACUUCUGCAAGAACUAGAUAAUAAAGUAGAAUAUUAUUACCGAUUGCCAAUAUCGAACAAAUUCAUUUGUAAAUCAAUUAUAUUAUAUCGCUUUUUUCUAACCUAUGAUCGCAGACAGCCAACUCGAAGGAAAAAAAUCUAGUUUUUGCAGAAUCCCGACCCAACCGUACCUUGAAGUUGAAAACCGUACUUUUUCAGAAAGUCAACAGUCCUUUUUUGGGAAAUCAUACUGGCAACACUGCCGGCAGGCUUGGCUAUUUCGUUGUUUUGUUUUUGUUUUAUGUUACUUAUCAGGAUUUUCAUGUUACUUUCUAAUUAUUAAAUGAUUAUCUGCCAGUCUUAUCUAAGAACACAAUUGACUUUUGAAUUGAUUUACAUUCUAUUGUGCUGGUAAAAGUCACAAUUCAGAUGCAGUGUUGUAUAGGUGCACCUGAAGAAAAAUGUAACCACUAAGCUUGCAUGAAGAGAGUAAUAAAUGUAAUUAAACUAAAGGAGACUAUUAAGUUGGGAGACAACUUGAGACGCUACAAAAUAGAUUAAAGGACAUCUUGGCUUAAUCUAGUGACUCUCAAGACUCCAGUGAAGAUAGAGGUUCUGUGGUAAGUAUUAAAGGUCUAGCAAAAAGGAUACUUAAUUCUCUUGCCAUUAAAUAAACUUGGCCUUUGAUACUUUUGUUCCAGUUCUUCAUUCAAAUCUGUAAAAUGACACAUUUGACCAAACAAAUAUAACAAAAAAUGUUAUUACCAAUUAUAAAUUUUUACAUUUUAUUGUACUUUCUUAUUUGAAUUGGAUGAUAUCGUUAUACCAAUUGUAAAUUUAAAAAUUCCAAGGUCACGUAGAACACGAAUCUAGUAGUUUUAUUACGAAAUAAUUCAUAAAGACUCCUACAAAAUUUACAAUAGCAAUGAUAUGUUUCUGCAUGUAUCACGUGACAUAAUGUACAGGAGCCUUUUAUGCGUUUCCACCAACGAUUCUUAAAUUAGUGUCACCUAAGCAGCAUUUAGGAUGUCCCUUACUAUAAAUUCAUAUUCACCACUGCUAAAGUGUUACCUAAAAAUAAAGAGGAGCCCUUAAAUUUGUCCUUAAACUCUGUUUUGAACAUAAUUUGUAAUUUAAAAGAUAAAAAGAUAAAGUUAAUAGUUAAAUUUCAGAACAACCACCCUUUCGAAUCGUCAUUAAACUGGGGGUGCCCCUAACAAGAAACACCUAGCGUAGUGAAAAUGAAUAUAGGUAAGUAUCUGAUUUUAGAUGACCCUUAGUUUAUGUAAUACUUAGUUUAGGGUGAAUUAAGGACUCGUUGGUAGAAACGGGCAUAAGUCGCAUUUGGGUAUCAAAGUUAGUGUAAAUCACACAACACACUGCCGAUUAGAUUUUGUUCAGGUUGUGAUAGUUGGUAGAACAGUAAGUACAACUUAGCCAACAGUCCUGAAAAAACUAUAAUAGGCAACUGUCAGCUGUUUGGCGAAAGGUUGCUAGCCUAUCGCCUGAAAGAAUAGUUGCAAGUUUAUAAAAUAUAAAGACAUCUCUUAGUCGCCUUUUACGACAUCCAUAAGAAAAUGAAGGAGUGGUCUUAUGCUUUUUUUAUUCGUGCCACAGGACACGGCACUGUUUCAGAAUAAAAAGGUAGUUAAAUCAAAAACACUAUCUACAAGCAAACUUGUCCGUCAUGGCCAAAAAUAUUUUCGUUAAUAGAUAUUGUAGAUCUAUUAAAAGUAGACCAUGGCUAUCAUAUCCAUGGCUAAUACACUUAGGAUUCUUGUAGGCGAUGUGCUAGCAACCUGUCACUAUUUGAAUCUCAAUUCCAUUAUUAAGCCAAACAGUUGAACGUGGCCGUUCAGUGUGUUUUCGAGACUUGGUUCUAUAUACCCCACAAAGGAUAUAGACGUGACUAUAUGUAUGUACGUAUUAAGGUAGUAUCCUAAGGUCAUAGACGCAUUUACAACUAGGUACUUACGACUCACAAAUACAAACUCACUAAUUUAAUAUGCAAAUAUAAUGAAGUUUAUUUAGGUAGGUAGGUAAGUACUUUCCAAUGUUUUCGAAAGCCCAAAAACAUUGCCAAAAGGAGUAUGUAACCGGUCCACUCCUAAUAUGGAAGUAAGAUAUGAAGAGCUUCAGGCGUAAAUUGCUUGUGUCAGGCGAAUUGUAAUUAAUUUUAGGGUUCACCUCUUUUAUUUAUCUUCAAUUUAUCACGAUUGCUGUAUUUCGUGGAACGCAAACCACAAAUGUGGUUGGUAAGUGACUACAUUACAGGUACAAACUUAAAAAAAUGAAGUACCUACAAGCUUUACCUACUUAAUAGGUACCUAGCUACAUAAGUAUUUACUUGUAAGUAUACCUACAUAUACUAUAAAUAAAU